AGUGAACGCUGGCGGUAGGCCUAACACAUGCAAGUCGAACGGCAGCACAGUAAGAGCUUGCUCUUACGGGUGGCGAGUGGCGGACGGGUGAGGAAUACAUCGGAAUCUACUUUUUCGUGGGGGAUAACGUAGGGAAACUUACACUAAUACCGCAUACUACCUACGGGUUAAAGCAGGGGAUCUUCGGACCUUGCGCGAUUGAAUUAGCCGAUGUCGGAUUAGCUAGUUGGCGGGGUAAAGGCCCACCAAGGCGACGAUCCGUAGCUGGUCUGAGAGGAUGAUCAGCCACAAUGGCACUGAGACACGGUCCAGACUCCUACGGGAGGCAGCAGUGGGGAAUAUUGGACAAUGGGCGCAAGCCUGAUCAAGCCAUACCGCGUGGGUGAAGAAGGACUUCGGGUUGUAAAGCCCUUUUGUUGGGAAAGAAAAGCAGCAGGUUAAUACCCCGCUGUUAUGACGGUACCCAAAGAAUAAGCACCGGCUAACUUCGUG
rnacentral:rRNA from 1 species